GCAGCUGUGGCCAGUGGUUAAGGGGGUGGACUGGGAAAUCCAUUGGGGUCUCCCCGCGUGGGUUCGAAUCCUACCGGCUGCG
rnacentral:tRNA from 1 species